GAUGAACGCUGGCGGCGUGCCUAAUACAUGCAAGUCGAGCGAAUGGAUUAAGGGCUUGCUCUUAUGAAGUUAGCGGCGGACGGGCGAGUAACACGUGGGUAACCUGCCCAUAAGACUGGGAUAACUCCGGGAAACCGGGGCUAAUACCGGAUAACAUUUUGAACCGCAUGGUUCGAAAUUGAAAGGCGGCUUCGGCUGUCACUUAUGGAUGGACCCGCGUCGCAUUAGCUAGUUGGUGAGGUAACGGCUCACCAAGGCAACGAUGCGUAGCCGACCUGAGAGGGUGAUCGGCAACACUGGGACUGAGACACGGCCCAGACUCCUACGGGAGGCAGCAGUAGGGAAGCUUCCGCAAUGGACGAAAGUCUGACGGAGCAACGCCGCGUGAGUGAUGAAGGCUUUCGGGUCGUAAAACUCUGUUGUUAGGGAAGAACAAGUGCUAGUUGAAUAAGCUGGCACCUUGACGGUACCUAACCAGAAAGCCACGGCUAACUACGUGCCAGCCGCCGCAGUAA
rnacentral:rRNA from 1 species